ensembl:lncRNA
UAGUGAUAGAUUAUUGACGUUGCUGUUGUUCAAGGUAUUAGAGCCUGAUGGUGUCGCAGUCAGGUUAGCAAUCACGGUGGAAGGGCGUGUUUGAGUCUGGUUGGCGGUUAUGUUGGGAGGGUUUGUCUGGGUCAGGUUGGCGGUUAUGUUGGGAGGGUUUGUCUGGGUCAGGUUGGCGGUUAUGUUGGGAGGGUGUGUCUGGGUCAGGUUGGCGGUUAUGUUGGGAGGGUGUGUCUGGGUCAGGUUGGCGGUUAUGUUGGGAGGGUGUGUCUGGGUCAGGUUGGCGGUUAUGUUGGGAGGGUGUGUCUGGGUCAGGUUGACGGUUAUGUUGGGAGGGUUUGUCUGGGUCAGGUUGGCGGUUAUGUUGGGAGGGUGUGUCUGGGUCAGGUUGGCGGUUAUGUUGGGAGGGUUUGUCUGGGUCAGGUUGGCGGUUAUGUUGGUAGGGUUUGUCUGGGUCAGGUUGGCGGUUAUGUUGGGAGGGUGUGUCUGGGUCAGGUUGGUGGUUAUGUUUGGAGGGUUUGUCUGGGUCAGGUUGGUGGUUAUGUUGGGAGGGUAUGUUUGGGGCAGGAUAGCGGUUAUGUUGGGAGGGUGUGUUUGGGUCAGGUUGGUGGUUGUGUUGGGAGGGUUUGUCUGGGUCAGGUUGGUGGUUAUGUUGGGAGUUUGUGUUUGGGGCAGGUUGGUGGUUAUGUUGGAAGGGUGUGUUUGUGUCAGGUUAGCGGUCAUGUUGAAAGGGCCCAUCUGGGUUGGGUUUGUGGUCAUAUUAAAAGGGCUCAUCUGGUUCGGGUUUGUGGUCAUGUUGAGAGGGCCCAUCUGGGAUAGGUUUGUAGUCAUAUUAAGAGGGCCUGUCUGGGUAAGGCUGGUGGUUAUGUUAUGAGGACCCAUCUGGGUUGGGUUUGUGGUCAUGUUAAAAGGGUUCAUUUGGUUGGGGUCUGUGGUCGUGUUUAAAGGGCUCAUCUGGUUCGGGUUUGUGGUCAUAUUGAGAGGGCCUAUCAGGGAUAGGUUUGUAGUCAUAUUAAGAGGGCCUAUCUGGGUAAGGCUGGUGGUCAUGUUGAGAGGACCAAUCUGGGUUGGGUUUGUGGUCAUGUUAAAAGGGCUUAACUGGUCGGGGUUUGUGGUCAUGUUGAGAGGGCCCAUCAGGGAUGGGUUUGUAGUCAUAUUAAGAGGGCCAGUCUGGGUAAGGCUGGUGGUCAUGUUGAGAGGACCCAUCUGGGUAAGGUUAAGGUUUAUGUUGGGAGGUCCUGUUUGAGUUAAGUUUGAAGUUAUGUUGAAGGGACCGACCUGGUUUAGGUUGGUGGUCAUGCUGGGUGGGUUCGUCUGGGUCAGGUUGGUGGUAAUGUUGGGUGGUAGUGUCUGGGUCAGGUUGGUGGUCAUGUUGGUUGGUAGCGUCUGGGUCAGGCUGGUGGUCAUGUUAGAAGAUAUCCAGCUGUCUGUAGAGUUGCUACUGCUUGUUGUAUUGCUCCCAUUGACUCCAAGCAUCAUGCAUGCUAUCCCCAGGAUAGCCACAUAAAUCCAUUUACUCCUCAUCCGUGAUCUUUAUGUGCUUAUGUAUCUGUUAAUCGUGCAGUUUUUGUUACCUAUAAUUUAAAAGAAAACAAAUCAUCUUGUAUAAUCAACAAAAAAAAAUAAACAUUUUGGAUAAUUUAAAUUUGAUUUUAAAAGCCAUUAACGAAAGGCAGGCUUUAUCUGAAAGACUUUGUCGUUCAUAAUCUUUUAUCAUUCCUUCCCAGACACAAACAAGCAUGAACCUGGAUCCUCAAUUCAUCAACACCUUAGUUUAUUUACCACAUCUUAUUUAGCAAUAUGGUAUUCAUAAAUAUUAUGGCAUUUUAACAAUUUAACCUUAACACUAACAUACGAGUUUUGCUUAAUGUCUUUUCAUUUCUUUAUCUCAGCAAUGGUUGUUUGUUUGAUGGAACUAAGAGGCUAUCUAUGCAAUCUUCAAAUAAUUCUUGUUACACAACAUUAUAUACUACACAGUGCAACCAUUUAACCUUCUUACUAUGGUAAAGUGUAAAAUUACAGAAUUUGAUAGAUCCUCAAAAUCCAUCCUCAAAACUAAGUGAGCAUAAAAAAAUAAAAUUUUUGCAACUAAAAACUUUUUUUUUUUAAUGUAUGCUUUAGAAGUCAGUGGCUCCUUAGUCAUUCCAUAGUCUCUCGAAAAGUUGGGUCGUUCAGACAGGAUAGCACCGUCCAAUAACACAAAGUAUUUUUAUUUUUUUUCCAGAGUAGACACAACAUUUUGUAAAAAUGUACCAAAAAUUAAAUAAUACAUAAUUGACUUCUAUUUUUAUAACUAAUUUGAAUUAUAAUAUAAAGAUAAAAUAUAUUCAAUUGAUAGGCUAUCUAAUAUUCAUUCAGUACAAUGCAUAAUAAGAUUUGUAAUUUAUGAUCAAACUCAGAUAAAAUAAUAAAAAAUAAAAAAAAACAGCAUGCAUUGGUAUCUGAACAAACAGGAAAAAACAG